AAAAAUUGUGCGAGAAGGCAAAGGAAAUUUUAACAAAAGGAUCAGAUGUGCAAGAGGUUCGUUGCCCUGAUACUGUCUGUGGAGAUGUGCAUGGUCAAUUACAUGAUCUUAUGGAACUCUUUAGAAUUGGUGGAAAAUCACCAGAUACAAACUACUUAUUAAUGGGUGACUAUGUAGACAGAGGAUAUUAUUCAGUGGAGACUGUGACUCUUCUUGUAGCAUUCAUUAUCCAGAAUGCAUUACAAUAUUGAGAGGAAAUCACAAAAGCCAACAAAUUACCCAAGUAUAUGGCUUUUAUGAUGAAUGUCCGCGAAAGUAUGGGAAUGCCAAUGUUUGAAAAUACUUUACAGAUCUCUUUGAUUAUCUUCCACUUAUAACUUUAGUAGAUGGACAGAUAUUCUGCCUCCAUGGUGGCCUGUCUCCAUCCACAUACACACUGGAUCAUAUAAGAGCCCUGGGUCAUUUACAAGAAGUUCCACAUGAGGGCCCAAUGUAUGAUCUAUUACGGUCAGAUCCAGAUGAUCGUGGUGGAUGGGGUAUUUCACCCUGUGUGCUGGCUACACAUUUGGACAAGACAUUUCUGAAACCUUUAACCAUGCCAAUGGUCUCACACUGGUUUCUCGUGCCCACCAGCUUGUAAUGGAGGGAUACCAUUGGUGUCAUGAUCAGAAUGUGGUUACUAUUUUCAGUGCACCCAAUUACUGUUAUUGUUGUGGUAACCAGGCUGCGAUCAUGGAACUAGAUGACGCUUUAAGAUAUUCCUUCCUUCAGUUUGACCCAGCACUUUGUUGUGGCGAGCCUCAUGUUACACAGCACACCCCAGACUACUUCCUAUAA
rnacentral:lncRNA from 1 species